rnacentral:rRNA from 1 species
GAUGAACGCUGGCGGCGUGCCUAAUACAUGCAAGUCGAGCGAACAGACGAGGAGCUUGCUCCUCUGACGUUAGCGGCGGACGGGUGAGUAACACGUGGAUAACCUACCUAUAAGACUGGGAUAACUUCGGGAAACCGGAGCUAAUACCGGAUAACAUGUUGAACCGCAUGGUUCAACAGUGAAAGACGGUCUUGCCGUCACUUAUAGAUGGAUCCGCGCCGCAUUAGCUAGUUGGUAAGGUAACGGCUUACCAAGGCAACGAUGCGUAGCCGACCUGAGAGGGUGAUCGGCCACACUGGAACUGAGACACGGUCCAGACUCCUACGGGAGGCAGCAGUAGGGAAUCUUCCGCAAUGGGCGAAAGCCUGACGGAGCAACGCCGCGUGAGUGAAGAAGGUCUUGGGAUCGUAAAACUCUGUUAUUAGGGAAGAACAAAUGUGUAAGUAACUAUGCACGUCUUGACGGUACCUAAUCAGAAAGCCACGGCUAACUACGUG